UACGGAAGGCAGCAGUGGGGAAUAUUGCACAAUGGGCGCAAGCCUGAUGCAGCCAUGCCGCGUGUAUGAAGAAGGCCUUCGGGUUGUAAAGUACUUUCAGUCGUGAGGAAGGUGUUAAGGUUAAUAACCUUAGCAAUUGACGUUAGCGACAGAAGAAGCACCGGCUAACUCCGUGCCAGCAGCCGCGGUAAUACGGAGGGUGCGAGCGUUAAUCGGAAUUACUGGGCGUAAAGGGCACGCAGGCGGUUAAUUAAGUUGGAUGUGAAAUCCCCGGGCUUAACCUGGGAAUGGCAUUCAAGCUGGUUAGCUAGAGUCUUGUAGAGGGGGUAGAAUUCCAUGUGUAGCGGUGAAAUGCGUAGAGAUGUGGAGGAAUACCGGUGGCGAAGGCGGCCCCUGGGACAAAGGACUGACGCUCAUGUGCGAAAGCGUGGGGAGCAAAC
rnacentral:rRNA from 1 species